CUUUAUUGGAGAGUUUGAUCCUGGCUCAGGACGAACGCUGGCGGCAUGCCUAAUACAUGCAAGUCGAGCGGACUUGAAGAG
rnacentral:rRNA from 1 species